UCUACGGGGGGCAGCAGUGAGGAAUAUUGGUCAAUGGGCGCGAGCCUGAACCAGCCAAGUAGCGUGAAGGAUGACUGCCCUACGGGUUGUAAACUUCUUUUAUAAAGGAAUAAAGUGAGGCACGUGUGCCUUUUUGUAUGUACUUUAUGAAUAAGGAUCGCCUAACUCCGUGCCAGCCGCCGCGGUAAUACGGAGGAUCCGAGCGUUAUCCGGAUUUAUUGGGUUUAAAGGGAGCGUAGAUGGGUUGUUAAGUCAGUUGUGAAAGUUUGCGGCUCAACCGUAAAAUUGCAAUUGAUACUGGCAGUCUUGAGUACAGUUGAGGUAGGCGGAAUUCGUGGUGUAGCGGUGAAAUGCUUAGAUAUAUCGAAGAACUCCGAUUGCGAAGGCAGCUUACUAAACUGCCACUGACAUUGAUGCUCGAAAGUGUGGGUAUCAAACAGGAUUAGAUACCCUGGUAGUC
rnacentral:rRNA from 1 species